AGAAAUAUUCAGUUUGAGAAACAAUGAAGAAGAAGGAGGACAACAUUUCUGUCGUGGUCAAAACGAGACCAGUCUAGGUCGACCAAUCAUAUUCUGAGACUAUGCCGUCUUUCAUAGCCCACUUUUUCUUCUUCAUUAGUAAAAAAAUUUAUUAUUAGACAAAUAACAGCCAAAGAGUAUCUAGUUCCCAUUCAUCCACAAGCAGUGCCGGACCCAGAAAUUGUGCAAAGGAGGGACCAAGGGUCUCCUAUUGAGAAGUCUUGGGCAUCCUGGGAAAGUUGAGGUUCCUCUAAGGUACAUUUUAUGCUUGGUUGGAUUGCACCAUAUUCCUUUCCACUCUGGUAGUCUGCUAUCUAUUAAUGUUUCUUCAUACAGAUGAUGCUCCUCCAUUACACAAAGUAUGGCAUGAGCAAGUUUAUUCCCACAGCUAUCUGUCUUAUCUGGAUCUGAGAAAAUUAUUUUGGAGACAAAGCUGUAAUCUAACAAUUGUGAGGCUGUUAGAUAACACGUUUUGCCCCUAAUCUCUAUCUCCAAUGGCUUGAAUGUUGCUAGAUUUAUCUGGCAAAGGCAGAUGCUGAAAUCUAAAUUACACUGACAUCAGCCAAAAUGUUCUGACCUCUUAUUGCAUUUUUCUUCUUCUAAGCAGGGCUGCUCUUCAUAUUCAUAGGUAUAGAUCCAUUGAUAAGCUAUGCCAGGGCAUUCAACUCCUGCUAUGGAGAGGUCUUGAAGAAACUGUUGUAUGGUGACUAGCUCACUAUUUCUACUAUCUUCGGCUAAGGUGUAUAUAUAGGGCUUUAGGUCCUCUAUUACUUGGCUUUUCUCACAAAAAGAUCGAAUGAUAGAAUGUCUGAAGAAAUACAUUCUAGCACUCAAUUGUUCAAAUUCCUCACUGGUGAGUUGUCUGAUUUCUUGGUCAGGAAAGGGGGCAGUUGUUUUUCCUGGAGCUAAUUUUUUAAGCUGGAUGGUUAGGGUUCGAAUGGUGGCUCUCAGUUGUUUUUCUUCGUCUCGGAGCUGGUUUAGCUCUUCACUGACCUUUUUGCCUUUAUCCAUAAUUUUCUUGAAAUUUCUGGUAAGCCUUCACAAUGUCGGCACAUCUAGAGAGGAUUUUGGGAAUCUAUUUUAGGGUUAGAACUACUACUUCCAGUACUACUGCUUCCAAUUAUAUGGCUAACUGAAACUCCACUAGUAGCAAGAAUGGUUAACCUCAUCUUGCUCAAUGUGUCCAAGUAAUCUUUAGCUAUUUGACUGAUAAAGUAACUGGUUCCUAUUUGUCUAUAGGUACUGGCUGACUCAAAAUCAUAAAAAACCUUUAUACUGUGGUAUGGAAAAAAAAAUUUAACUAAGGAUUCAACUUUUAUCCAGUCAUGGUAAAUACCAGGCUUGGUUCCUUUAGCUACUACAUAGAAAGAAAAACUUUUAGACAAAGGCUUAUUUUGGAUUUUUGAAAAAUAUAUACUAAGACAGUUUAGGGCUGACAGACGUUUAGCUGGGUGGCUAUGACUGUUCCAAAUGUUAUCUAAAAGACAUUGUUGAACCGAGUCUAGCUCAAUUCCUGUUAAUGGUCUGAACUUGUUUCUGCCUUCAUGAAUGGGAAGAGAAAAUCGCCCAAAAUUCAUGGUUUUGCUGUUCUCCAUUAUCUGCACAAAAAUUAAAUUGGUUAUUUUCUUUUUCUAGAUAAAUUUUCCUACUUAACCAAUCUGUUAACCUAUUAUUACUCCCUUUAAUAUGUUCAAAUUCUACUUUAUAUCCUUGUCCUACUAUACAAUUUAAAAAUUUUGCCCAUCUUCUAGUACUUAAUUUGCGGUCGGUAAGUUUAUUAUGAAAUCUAACUAUAGCUUCACAGUCUGUUAUAAUUGUAAACGGUUUAUGCAAAAAUAAUCUAAAUUUGUUUAUUGCAUAUACUACUCCUAAUAUUUCAAAAUCUAGGCUGAUCAUGGUCGUAUCUUUUUCUUUAAAUUUUUCAGAACUGUAUCUACAAAUGCGCUCUUUAUUUUUACUAUCAUAUUUACUAGGUUUAGCUAAUAAUAUUGCUCCCCAUCCUAAUUGACUUACAUCUGUUUCUAUAACUAUAUAUUCUGACUCUAAGGGAAAUUGUAGGUCUGGUAAAUUUCUACAAAUGUCUUUAAUUUUUCUAACUAGGGUUAUAUCUUGUUGAUUGAAAUAUUUUUGUCAUGUGGGUGUGGUCUUACUAUAUAGAGGUCAUACUAUUUUACUAAGGUUAGGAAUAUACAUUCGUGCAUAAUUUAAAAUUUCUAAAAAUGAUUUAAGCUGCUUUGUAUCUUUUAAAAUUUUCUUAACUAUGUGAGGUUGUAACCUAAUUUUUCCAUCUCCUAACUCCAUUCCUAAAAAUUCUAUAUGAAGCUUAUUUAAUACCAUCUUUUUCUUGCUAAUUAUUAUUCCGUUAUUUAUGAAUUCUUCUAGUGUUAUAUAUAAAUGAUCUAUAUGACUAUUUUUAUCUGGACUGAAUACUAAUAUGUCAUCUAUGUAUACCAACAUAAAACUAUAUUUAUUAAAUAUACUAUUCAUCUUACGCUGAAAUAUAGAAGGUGUAUUUUUUAGUCCAAAAGGCAUGACUAGCCAUUCGUAAUGUCCCUGUGGGCAACAAAAGGUUGUCCAAGGUAUGUUUUCCUUUUCCAUUUUUAUCAGUCAAAAUCCCAACUUGCAAUCAAAUUUACUAAAUAUUUUUGCUGCAUGUAUUCUGUUUAUGAGCUGACCUUUAUCUGGUAUGUUGUAUUUAUCAUCUUUUGUGCUAUCAUUUAAUCUUUUAUAAUUUAUAACCAUUCUAGCUUUUUCUCUUUUUAUCUCUGCAUGAUUUCUAACCAUAAAUGCGGCGCUCCUAUGCGGACUAUUACUAGGUCUAAUUACUCCUAAAUCUAGUAAUUCCUUAAUCUGUGUUCUAAAUUCUUCUAUAUCUGCUGGCGUAUGGUCUAUUUGUGCUGAGGUAAUCCUAUAAUCUUUAUUUUUUAUAUCUAAACUGGCUAAAACUUUAUUUCUUUCCCAAUACUUCAUGGGCUGUUCUCCUAAAAUCUCUGUUGUUUCAGCUAAUCUUAUUAUCUCAUCUAAAUCAUUUUAUGUUCUUCUGUAUAUUGAUUUUUUCUUUAAUUUUUCUAUUUUUGCAAAAAUUAAUUCUAAGUUAACUGUUUGUUGAAAAUCUUCUAGGUUCCAAUAGUCUCCCUUAUCUUCAAAAUCAAACUUUCCUAAACCUUCUAAUUCAUAAUUUUCUAUGUCUAAAUUUUCUAAAGAAGUGUUUAUUAUCUCAUCAGGAAUAUACUUUUGGGCUAGCUCGGGAAAAAUAUUUCUACUAGGAAAUAAAAAACUAGCGAGAACUGAAUCUACUCCUAUGGUACCACCACGCUUCGCACGCAAUUCUGAUGAAUGGGCUAUGGUGCUAAGGGAAUAUGUUGUGGGUGUAUGUACAGUUCGCUCGAAGAAACUAUUGUUGUGUUGGCUGAUAAACAUGCCACCUUGUAGGCUAAGUAUGAAGUUAAGUCCUAAGAUAAAAGGAUGAUUUUGUCGUGUAUUCCCAAUUCAAACUUGAGGUAAUGGGAACCAUUCUUUAUGUUGAUCUUGAGAACCUAGAUGAUGAAAACUAAUCUAUGCGCCGUUAAUGCAA